rnacentral:rRNA from 1 species
AAGGUCCGGGCGUUAUCCGGAUUUAUUGGGUUUAAAGGGAGCGUAGGCCGCCGAUUAAGCGUGUUGUUAAAUGCCGCAGGUCAACUGUGGCCCUGCAGCGCGAACUGGUUGGCUUGAGUGCGCGGAAGGCAGGCGGAAUUUGUGGUGUAGCGGUGAAAUGCUUAGAUAUCACGAAGAACCCCGAUUGCGAAGGCAGCUUGCCGCAGCGUAACUGACGCUGAAGCUCGAAAGUGCGGGGAUCGA